UGAGGAAUCUUGCGCAAUGGGCGAAAGCCUGACGCAGCGACGCCGCGUGAGGGAUGAAGGCCUUCGGGUUGUAAACCUCUGUCAGGGGGGAAAAACCCGGAGUCGGUGAAUAACCGGCUCCGCUGACGGUACCCCCAGAGGAAGCACCGGCUAACUCCGUGCCAGCAGCCGCGGUAAGACGGAGGGUGCGAACGUUGUUCGGAAUCACUGGGCGUAAAGGGCGCGUAGGCGGACUUGUAAGUCAGGAGUGAAAACUCGGGGCUCAACCCCGAGCCUGCUUCUGAAACUGCGAGUCUUGAGGACCGGAGAGGAAAGUGGAAUUCCUAGUGUAGCGGUGGAAUGCGUAGAUAUUAGGAAGAACACCAGUGGCGAAGGCGACUUUCUGGACGGUUCCUGACGCUGAGGCGCGAAAGCUAGGGGAGCAA
rnacentral:rRNA from 1 species